AAGCCGUUUGUGAUGCUGAUUUGAAGUUUAUGAAUGUUGUAGCCCGGUGGCCUGGUUCUGCACAUGAUGCUACUAUAUUUAAUAAUUCUAUUUUAAGAGGUUUUAUAGACA